UGUAAGGUGCCUGAUUAAAGGAUAAUUUUGAUAGAAUUAAUCAAGUGUGACCCCCCCCUGCGUGCACCCUUGCAA
rnacentral:tRNA from 1 species